UUAUUUAAAUUUUAUUUUUAAAGAUUAUCUUUUACUACUACAAAAUCAGAGCCUGUCCAUUGUCAUACAUCAGAAAAUAAGGACAAGCAAAAAUCACAGAACAAAAGUAUUCCCACCCCUCAGUAAGUACGAGCGCUAAGUUCUGGAGGCUACGAGUUCAAGAUCAAGGUGUCCACGGGGCUGGUUUCAUCUGAAACCCUUUCUUUGGCUUACAGAUGGCUGGCUGUCUUCUCUCUGUGUCUUCAUACCAUCUUCCCUCUGUGUAUCUGUGUCCUACUCUCUUCUUUCAGAUUGUCACCACCUACUUUAUAGCAGAGAUUCAACUUUAUUAAAGGAUUCACUCAACUUAUUAGCCUGUUUGAGAAGAGCUCCCCACACUGUGUGCCUUGGCAUAUUGAGUACCAGGAAUGAGUUGCAAGUAUGUGGAGGCACAGAUUCUACUCAGCCCUCAAGAUGGUCAAGCUAGGCUUGGGGAAACAAACUACUUGAGCUGGCCAUGUCCUGCAAUGAAAUGCCUCAAUCCUUCAUCCCAGCAUGUCUUAAAGAAUUAGAACAAAUAAUCCUAAAAACUGUAUGGAACCACAGAAGAGCCCAAUGAGCCAAAGCAACUUUGAAUAAGAAAAGCAAAGCUGGAGGCCUCACAAUUCCAGAUUUCAAGUUACAUUACAAAGCUGUAGUGAUCAAGACAAUAUGGCAUUAACACAAAAAUAGACACAUUGAUCAAUGGAUCAGAAUAAAAAAUCCAGAAAUGAACUCAUAAUUAUAUGGUCAAUUAAUCUUUGAAGAAAGUAGGAAAGAAUAUCCAAUGAGAAAAAGAAUGUCUCUUCAACAAAUGGUGUUCGGAAAACUGGAUAGCAAUAUGCAAAAGAAUAAAGCUGGACCACUUUCUUAUACCAAACACAAAAAUAAAUCCAAAAUGGAUCAAACACCUAAAUGUAAGACCUGAAACCAUUAAAAUCCCAGAGACAGUGACCUCUUUAA